rnacentral:rRNA from 1 species
UACAGAGGUCUCAAGCGUUGUUCGGAUUCAUUGGGCGUAAAGGGUGCGUAGGCGGCGCGGUAAGUCGGGUGUGAAAUCUCGGAGCUUAACUCCGAAACUGCAUUCGAUACUGCCGUGCUUGAGGACUGGAGAGGAGACUGGAAUUUACGGUGUAGCGGUGAAAUGCGUAGAUAUCGUAAGGAAGACCAGUGGCGAAGGCGGGUCUCUGGACAGUUCCUGACGCU